rnacentral:misc_RNA from 1 species
UUUCCGUAGGUGAACCUGCGGAAGGAUCAUUAAUGUAACCGGACCGAUCCUUUGCCGUAAAACGCACUGGCUUGGGAAGGGAGAUAUCAUACACCCUAGGUUUAUUUUCUCUUGUUGCUUUGGUGGGCCGUCCUUUACGGCGUCGGCCUCGGCUGAUCGCGCCCGCCAGAGGACUCAAACUUUUUUAUUAGUGAUGUCUGAGUACUAUAUACUAGUUAAAACUUUCAACAACGGAUCUCUUGGUUCUG